UUCAACUGAUUUCGAUUGUAUAAAAUUUCGUUUGUAUAUGAUGAGGACUUGAUAGAUCGUAUAUUGAUUAUUGAUGUAAGAAAUACAAAGAAUUAAAAUCAGUAUAACAACCGGUACUUGAUCACUGUUUUAACAAAACACAUACAAAAGCACAACAAAACAAACAAGAAGAAAAGGAAAAUGGUAUAACUCAAACUUAGUGCAAUAGAACUCAGAUGCAUCAUCAUCAGACGUAAUGUAAAAAUUCAUCAAAUGAGAACUCGUUCUAACAAAUAAUGGCUUCUCCAUGUUUUGUAUACAGCAUCAUCUUACGAGUUGUCAAUGACCUAGAUAUGUGACAAAAGCUGUGAAUUAAAACUUUGCAAAAGAAGGAGAAAUUUAAAGAAAAAUAAAAGCAAAGGAACUUAUCUUCAAUGGGGAGAGUUUGAAUCUACUUCUUAUCCAACGUCUUCUAACGAGUUGUCAAUGUGACAAAAGCUGUGGAGUAAUUUUUUUUCCGAAGUGCGACAAACUUUGACAAACUUAGCAAUCCACAUUAUAAGCAUAUAUAAUAUAAUCAAAAUAACUGCAAAAACAUACAUAUCCGGUUUAGUAACAGGAAACGGCAAUGUUUUAAUGUUUGAGAAACAAAAAGAAAACAUAAGCUUUUAAAAUUUUAGAUUAGGGAGAGGACGGAGGAGAGGCCACUCAAGACUGAGACAAAAACCAGCUCUCGCCAAGUUUGUCCCAGUCAAUGUAAGGGACUUUGAUAGCCUUUAAUUUCUCCUCCGCACAGAGGAGCUUGGCUCAGAGUCUGUCUUUCUCUGCCUGGAUAUCGAACAGCCCCCUCUCCCCACCCCCCUCCGUGUCGAUCAUCUCAUCGAGCAACUCGAUUUGAUCUGAAAAAGAGUAGAGCUCAACUUGGGCGGAGUGCCUUUUUCAAUCUCAGUUUGCUGAUCCUCCACUAUUUGGAGGAUCGCCCGGUACCGCUCUCUUAAUUCAGCCUUCCCUUUUUCAAUCUUCAGCGGUUUGCCCGUAUUCAUCCUCCAUCAGAGGCUUCCUCUUAAAGUCAAUAUAUCCCGACAUUUUAACAUGGCAGUGUAAAGGAAAUCAGAACAAACUCUGGUGUAUAAAGUGAGGGGGAGGG
rnacentral:lncRNA from 1 species